rnacentral:rRNA from 1 species
AUGGCAAGAGCACUUGCGAUGAUGCUACUCAUGGCCAUCGCGGUGACCACCACUAUGUCGGCGGCGGGCGCCAUGGACAUCACGGAUAAGGACCUGGCGUCGGAGGAGUCCUUGUGGGCGAUGUAUGAGCGCUGGUGCGAGAACCACAACGUGGAACGCAAAAUUGGCGACAAGACUCUGCGCUUCAACGUGUUCAAGGAGAAUGCACGCAUGAUCCACGAGUUCAACCAACAAGACGUGCCCUACAAGCUAAGCCUCAACCUCUUCUGCGACAUGACCGAUGAAGAGGUAGACCGUACUUACGGUCGCUGCUCCAACAUCAGGUCCAACGGCCGGAAGCGCCGGCAUCAGGGUCGGCUCACGCAAGGAUCCAUCAUUGCCCGCGAAGACCUCCCAGCUGCCGUGGACUGGCGCAUGAUGGGAUACGACCAACGUCCGUCAGCAGUGACGAACGUGAAGCGUCAGGGGACCUGCGGGGGCUGUUGGGCCUUCGCGGCGAUAGCGGCGGUGGAGGGCAUCAACUCCAUCAGGACCCGGAACCUGACGUCAUUAUCUGUGCAACAACUUCUAGACUGCGAUAAGGGGAAUGAGGGAUGUCGUGGUGGCAACGCGGAAGGGGCCUUCAAGUACAUUAUCCACCAUGGGGGCAUCGAAACGGAGGCUAAGUAUCUGUACAUUGGCCAUGAGCAUGGUCGCUGCUCGGUGCCCAAGCAGAACCGGAACACUGUCAUCACCAUUAACGGCUACAAACAAGUGCCGCCCAAUGAGGUGGCAUUGAUGCAGGCAGUGGCGGCCCAACCCGUCAUCGUGGCACUCGAUGCUAACUCGACGGCCUUCCGACGCUAUGGGGGAGGGGUCUUCGUGGGACCGUGUGGGACAGACCUAAACCACGAAAUGACAGUGGUGGGUUACGGCACUACCAAUGAGCGGGACUCGAAGAAACGCAUGGAUUAUUGGAUCAUAAAGAACUCAUUGGGGCCUGAAUGGGGUGAAAAUGGCUACAUCCGCAUAGCACGCGACGUCAAUAGUCAGGGCGAGGAUGGGUUGUGUGGCAUCCUCAUAUAUGCAUCGUACCCGGUGAAGUUCAAAAGGAAAGGCGUGAAUGAUAUCAUGAAGAUAGUGUAA